AGCUCUGUACAAUGGCAAUAUCAUAGCCAAUGAAGUUUAUCAAGGUAUGAUUAUUGCUAAUUGAAAACUUUUCCCAAUACCCCAGUGAUAAUUAGCAAUAUAGAUGGCAUUAGUAAUUGGACAGUCUCUAUAGAGA